UUUUUUUUUUUUUUUUUUUUUUUCAAAGCACGAACAAUGUUGAGCCUUCUUAUAUAUGAGGAUAUUUGCAUACAGGAAUCUCUAGUACCAAGUAUACACCAAAAAUGUACACAUUUCAGAUCAAGCAUAUGCUGGAGCCUUAAUAAAAUACAAAACUGAGCUUCCAUUAAAUGCCUUGGGCAACCAUGAAACCUGGCUAAUAUGCCAUAUUAUUUCAUUUGUACACAGUACAUGUUUUGGAUAACUAAACAGUGAUCAAAACUGAUCGAAAUCGCUUCAGGUUUUGGUUACCAUGAACAGAGAACAACUGCUCAGCAUGGCAUUUAAAUAAAACAAUCGUAUUUUUAAAAUCCAUAAACACAAUGCCCAUUCAUUUACAAAAAAAAAAAUAAAGUUUGAAAAUCUUGAGGAUGGAUGAGGCUUUGGGUAAUUAACCUGAAAAAAAAAAAAAAAAAAAAAAAAAAAAGAACAAAGAAACUACAAGAAUAGUAUAUUCCCAGAUUCAAACUUCAAAAUGCUAUUCUAAUUAAAAAAAAAAAAACACAACUCUAUCAACUCACCUAAAAAUAUCUGGAAAAUUCAGCUUUUAAAGCUUUAUACUCCCUCCAAUAGCUUUGCUUUCUCCCCUCCAACCACAGGGGAAAUUGUAGCUGAGUAUGGAAACAUUAUAAAUAUAUAUUUAUAUAAAGAUCUACUUAUUUUCGGCAUUUAUUUUAAAACAUAAGUUUAAAAAACACUGUGCAGUUUAUGUCUUUGCAGGAAACUGGUGGACCCAUCCCUCGCCUAAAUGCAGUACCUUUUGACCUAACACUGACCUCAAAAGUUAGGAAUGACUCUGUGGUAUCAAGAGGAAAUGGUCCCCAAACAACCUCAAAGAGACAGCACAACAUUUGCAACGGUUGUCUUUAGAGUCCAAGGUUGCAAAGGACCUGAGAAAUCUCUGCAGCUCUGAUGAGGUUUCCCUAUAAAUCAUUUAUUCACAAUGAUUUCCCCACAGUGGCCAGGUGGUUCCCCUAAAGAAAGGAAGUUUCAAGAGUUCCCUCAAAACAGCUCAGAAAUGAAACAAGGCCCUAGUCACGUGGCUCCUUCUGUCUUCCAAGUUCUACUUUUUUUUUGGUUUUGUUUUUGCUUUUUUUUUUCGGGCCACACCCACACACACACACACACACACACACACACAAAGACUGCACAUUUCUUAACAGUAAAUGCAACGGGCCUCCCUUUCAGAUGCAGCACUUGGAGCUAGCAAUUUACCAUAAGAACUGAUCAAAAUAAAGUGCCAUUUGCUCUGGACGUUUCCCUAACCAACUCCUGACUGCCUCUCAAUACCCGACUUAAUUCUUCACCGUCCUGUCAAACACCCGUGAUGGCACCUUUACAAAAUACAGUAAUAUUAACUUGAACCCUGGGAAACCAUGUUUCUGGAACAUUAGUCCCUAGAACAGAACUUUGAUUGCAGUUGUAGAUAAGGAUUCAGAUUUGUAAAAAGGCAAUCAGGAAUUCAGGACCUACCAAAUAGUUGUGUCCAAAAAACCCCACAUUAGCCUCUUUCAACUGGGGAGCCCGAGGGUGAGGGAACUGUUCCAGCAGCUAGUUCUUACUUCCCUAAAAGCUGGAUCUUUCUACAGAAUCAUCCCACACAAACCAACAUCUGGACCAACUCUUAGCUGCUGACGCUGGAUGUCUUUGUGUAGCUUGCCCAAGACACUUUGGUGGAUCUAGAGAAGAUGCCAUAACUCUACCAGACU
rnacentral:lncRNA from 1 species